CACAGAUAAAAUCCACAUUUAUUCUCUGUUGAGCACCAGCUGAGCUGGUCUUGCAAGGACCGGAUGACUCAUCUUGAAGGGUCAUGAGACCCCCUGGGCUCUUCAUGCAGGUAAUCCUAGUUCCUAUGACUGGAGAAACAGUGAAGUCACUGCAUGCACCUGGGCUUCCCCCUGGAUUGGACUCUGAUUCUGACAUACACAGAUAUUUGAUGCCAAGUCACAAAGGCCUGGCAGUGCUGCAGGAGGAGAACAUUUUAUCACAGGUAUGUUUGCUUUCCCUCUUGUUUCAAUAAAAUUUUAAUCCAUCUGGUAAGAG
rnacentral:lncRNA from 1 species